rnacentral:lncRNA from 1 species
CAGAGGAGGGUGACCAGAAUAUUAAAGUGUCUAGAAAGCAUCAUCAACUGGGAAUGCUUAGCCUGGGGAAGAGAAAGUAUAUAUGAUAACUGUCUUCAAAUAUUUAAUGAGUCACCAAGUAGAAGGGAGAUUAUGUGAACCCAAAGAUGGCCUGUGCCACUAACAUUUGAAAACACUAUCAGUGUGUUUGGAAGUCAGAAGUAAUGGAAGUGUGGUACCACUGGGAUUCAAACCCACCAGUGGUAUAGCAGACUGUGUUCAUGUUCCAUGUGUGAUACCAUCUAUGUUCCAUGUGUGAUACCAUGUGUGAUCAGUGAAGUUCCUCAAUCAACAGGACCAUUUCAGGCCUGGGCUUCAAGGUGCACAGGCUUUACAAUUUGAAGGGGUUCUAAGUCAUCUAGAUCCUGAAACUCACUACAACAAAGACAAAGAUGGUGGAAGGGAAUCAUUGGGAGACAUGGAAGGCCCCAAAAUAAUGGUUGCCAUGUUGCUGCUGGAAGUGUUGUCCCCUACUGUCUCUGAAGGGACUGGUGAGACAAAAGAGCUCUGGAUCAACUCUCUGUUCAAAGGCAGCAACCUGCUCUUGUUUUUUCAAUCUUUUUUUUUCAAUUGCAUGUAAGAACAAUUUUUAACAUUCAUUUUUUUAAAAAUUGACUUCCAAAUUCUUUUCCCCCUUCCCUCCUCUGACCCCACUUUGAGAAUUUGAUACAUAUAGUCAUGCAAAAUAUAUUUCAAUAUUAGUUUUGUUAUGAAAGAAAAUAAAGACCCCCCCACUCCCCA